rnacentral:snoRNA from 1 species
GGUCUAUGAUGAAUAAUAUGGAAACCUUUCUCUCUGAAAUCUUUGUGAGGACAAAUCCUACUGCCUUCCUUCUGAGGUC